rnacentral:rRNA from 1 species
ACACGUAAGGGGCAAGCGUUGUUCGGAAUUAUUGGGCGUAAAGGGCGCGUAGGCGGUUUUACAAGUCUGGUGUGAAAGACCUCAGCUUAACUGAGGGACCGCGCUGGAAACUGUAAGACUAGAAUCUAGGAGGGGAAGCUGGAAUUCCUGGUGUAGGGGUGAAAUCUGUAGAUAUCAGGAAGAACACCGGUGGCGAAGGCGAGCUUCUGGCCAUAGAUUGACGCUGAGGCGCGAAAGCGUGGGGAGCGAACAGGAUGAGAAACCCCAGUAGUCC